UACGUAGGGUGCGAGCGUUAUUCGGAAUUACUGGGCGUAAAGCGUGCGCAGGCGGUUUUGUAAGUCUGACGUAAAAUCCCCGGGCUCAACCUGGGAAUUGCGUUGGAGACUGCAAGGCUAGAGUCUGGCAGAGGGGGGUAGAAUUCCACGUGUAGCAGUGAAAUGCGUAGAGAUGUGGAGGAACACCGAUGGCGAAGGCAGCCCGCUGGGUCAAGACUGACGCUCAUACACGAAAGCGUGGGGAGCAAACGGG
rnacentral:rRNA from 1 species